UGAUUUCCAAGACAACUUCUGAUCCUGUGAGUUCGAGUGGACCAAGUAAUUCGACUGCCUCAGAUUCAGAAAUCAAUUCCUCUGUUCGACAAGAUUCUCUGAUUUCAAAGCUGUACCAGGAUUUCAUUAAUGGAGAUAUCUUGGCAUCAGUGGAGGAGCACCCUGCUAAUGCUUUUAAGCAUAAAUCUUUCUUGAACAAAUUGCAUAAUCCUCA
rnacentral:lncRNA from 1 species